rnacentral:rRNA from 1 species
UACGAAGGGGGGCUAGCGUUGCUCGGAAUGACUGGGCGUAAAGGGCGCGUAGGCGGCUUGUAUAGUCGGAUGUGAAAUUCCUGGGCUCAACCUGGGGGCUGCGUUUGAUACGUGCGGACUUGAGUGCGGAAGAGGGUCGUGGAAUUCCCAGUGUAGAGGUGAAAUUCGUAGAUAUUGGGAAGAACACCGGUGGCGAAGGCGGCGACCUGGUCCGAUACUGACGCUGAGGCGCGAAAGCGUGGGGGAGCAAACAGG